GGGGAUUUGGCUCAGUGGUAGAGCGCUUGCCUAGGAAGCGCAAGGUCCUGGGUUCAGUCCCCAGCCCCG
rfam:Rattus norvegicus chromosome 17, whole genome shotgun sequence.